AGAUGGAGUCUUGCUCUUGUCACCCAGGCUAGAGUGCAAUGGCACGAUCUCUGCUCACUGAAACCUCUGCCUCCCAGUUUCAAGCGAUUCUCCUGCCUCAGCCUCCCAAGUGGGAUUAUAGGUGCCUGCCACCACACCUGGCUAAUUUUUGUAUUUUUAGUAGAGACAGGGUUUCGCCAUGUUGGCCAGGCUGGUCUCGAACUCCUGACCUCGUGAUCCACCCGCCUUGGCCUCCCAAAGUGCUGGGAUUAUAGGCGUGAGCCACCAUGCCCAACCAGCAAAGGGUAUUAUUAGUGAGGUAUGUGUUAAUGAGAAGAGGGAAAGUAAUAACCUUCUUUUUGUGUUCUUGCUUUUCACAGUGAUAUCUGUUAACCAAAUAGGGCUUUCUAGGCAAUGCACAUGUGUCAAAGAUUGUAAUUCAAGACUAGAGGAGAAGGCAGCACAGGCAAAGGUGAGGAUGAAAGGGGAAUUUUUAUAGUCCAUCAAGAUAUGAAUACUGGCAUCUCACUUUUUAUGGAGAAAAAACAGAAAUGAUGAUACUAUGUAAAAAUUUUCAAUUGUCACACAUGAAAAGACUAGAAAUAAAUGUAAUGUACCAAAUGGGUUAAGUUUACACAUACAUUUAAGUCACGAGCCCUCUUUUCCUUCUAAUUUUAUACACUUUCCAAAUAUCCUGAGUACAUAUAACUUUUAUUUUCCUUUCUUUAUAAAAGAUUUAUUUUUGAUGAGGGUAGCACAUUUUUAUUGUGCACAAUUUAGAAAUUUGAAGCAGUAUGAAGAAUGCAGGGAAAUCUCUUAGCCCACCACACAGAGAAUCACUUGUCCUGGAGACCCUGAGCAUUGUCAGCCUCACUCACGUCCCCUUGUUCCUAAGUGGUCAUUUUCUCUACCGAGUUCUGGAAUUAUGAAGGAAGUAACCAUAUCUACUGCAUAAGGGUCUUGUAAGGAUUGAAUGAUUGAAUUUAUUGCACAGUGCCUGCAUGAAGAAAGAUUCUCAUGUUGCUAAGAUUUCUUGCACCGCUCUUAAGCUUCUGAUUACGCAGAAGCUGGAUUAACUAUCUCACAGUAGCAGGGCAGACAGUAGCAUGGCAGACAGCAUGAAGCAGAGACCUAAAAGUCCUGUUUCUGAGUCACCACCAGAGAAAGACGAAUGAUCAAAAGAACAAUGAACAAGUACAGGAUAACUGGAUCCACAGGAAGAGACUUAAUUUUAGAGUUGGUUUGGCAUAAAAAGAGCAGUACCUUUCAUGGGACCAGGAAGUCUCCAUGAGAAUUGGAAGUUUGAACAACGAAUGGAUGCAAAAUAGAGCCUGCUGCCAAAAGAGAGGUGGGUGUGGGGGUGUACAGGGCAGAAUAUAUAUGAUACAUAAAUCAUAUCUCCAAAUCUUUAAUGAGUACAACUUUCACUUAUUCAUGUUCCAUCAGAUAAGAUUAAAAUUUUCCAUUAAAAAAUUUAUUUCAUUGAAUUGUUUAACCAAUAUUCAUUUUAUGUUCAAAGGCCAGUAUAGCUUUCACAAAGCGACAGAAGCCUGUAGCCCAUAUAUAGAUAGCAUUUAAUCCAUAUGUGAGAAUUCAGGAGCAUUCCAGGAGGCAUCCCAGAUUUCUCCCAAAUGUGAUCUGGCAUGUUCAAUUUACAUACUCAUAAAAAUUCACUCAUCCUCGGAAAAUGUAAAACACACUUAAGUAUGAUGACCAGAUAGAUGAAUGCUUAUUGUUUUUUUUUUACAUGAAAAAUAAAAGAGCACAUGAUUUUUAAAUGUCCAGAACUCUCAUUACUUGGGCUUUGGUGUUUAUUUUGAUGAAAGAAUCAAUAUUAAUAGUGUAUUGGGCAUUAGCAAGGGAAAAAAGGUCAUGAGGAUUGCAGCUCAGAAGCUGAUAUCUCUGAAAUCAGAGAAAAGGCGUUUAAGGUGAUCAAGAUUUCCUUUUCUCCAAAACCCCUCAGGAAAGUGAGGUCCAAAAAAACCUCAGGAAGUUAGAUAACUUCCUGAUCCUCAGUUUCUCUCCUGCAAAAAAAAAAAAAAAAAAAAAAAAAGGUUAUUAUCUAUAACUUACAGAGAUGUUGUAAGGAAUAAAAUAAUACACUUGAAGUGCUUAGCAUGUGGUGUAACACAUAGUAGGCCCUCCAGUGUGUAUCUACCAACCCAUUAACUAGCAGUGUGGUGACUAGCAAUUGGGAAAUGUUGAUAAUGGGUUUUCUUUCUGUCUAGGUCACGGAACAAAAUGUAUGCAAUAAUUCCACAUCUGUCACUUAAAUAAAAUACAUCAGCAGGUUGAGAAAUCUAACUUGGUGAUUUUUACUGAAUAAAAUUCUAUAUACAGUCAGAAGCUUAUUUUAGCACACACCUGAAGAAGGGCCUCCUUGGCAUGGCAAGGGUAGAGAAUUUCAGUCCAGAUCUUUAAAUGUUCCUAUGUUCUCUCACCCAUUCCACAAAUUAUUCAUUGAGUAUUUGCUAUGUGUUAAGCAUUGUGUAUGGACUGAGGAAUACAAGCCCAUAAAACAGACACAGUCCAGACUCAAAACUAUCCUACUACAACUUAUAAGACUUCUUGCUGGGUGUGGUGACUCACACCUAUAAUCCUAGCACUUUGGGAGGUCAAGGCAGGCAGACUGCUUGAGCCCAGGAGUUUGAGACUAGCCUGGGCAACAUGGUGAAACCCCAUCUCUAUAAAAAAUACAAAAAUUAGCUGGGUGUGGUGGCACAUGCUUGUAGUCCCAGCUACUUAGGAGGUGAAGUGCGAGGAUAGCUUGAGCCUGGGAGGAUGAGGCUGCCGUGAGCUGCGAUUGCACCCCUGCAGCAGCAUGGGCAACAGAGUGAGACACUGUCUUGAAAAAGAAAAAGAAAAAGAAAAAGAAAAAGAAAAAGAAAAAAGACUUCUUCAUUCACUUGGAUGUCUCUCAAGUAAUCUCCGCCUUCAUUACACCCAAAACUGAACUCCACUCACACUGAGAAACCUAUUUCUAUAGGAUAUCCCAUUUCGACCUUGCCAUCCACACAGUUCUUCAAUGUCCACCCAGUCUUAGGCCUGUCUCUCUUUUCAUUCAUCCAUGCUAGAAGUUUUAAUUAAUAUUUACGUAGAUGACUCCUAAAUUCAUAUUUCCAGCUCAUAUCUCUCCCCUCUAAACUCCAGACAAGAAAAUACAAGUGACUACUUGAACACUUUGUUUAGAUCUAGCAAAGCCACCUCAAACUAACAGGCAGAAAACCAAACUCAUGCCGCCCCUAUCCCUCCUAGUCACACAGCAAGCCCCAACAAAACCUGCUGUUCCAAUGCUAGCUAUUUCAGUGAAGAGCACCACAGUGCAUCACGGUGUGUGAGUCAUGAAGCCUCUCCUCUGCCACACUCUCCAUAUUGAGUUCAGCCCAAGUCCUUGUGAAUUCCAUUUCUCAAAUACUCCCAGAAUCUGUCCACUUCUCUCAAUCCCCACUGUGACCCCUGCCUACCUCUCGGUCUCAUUCUGUCAAAGGCGUGUGAGUCAGAGCAACUCCAUCUUAAAUAGAGCUGGGUAAAAUGAGGCUGAAACCUACUGGGCUGCAUUCCCAGAUGGUUAAGGCAUUUGGAUGAGACGGGAGGUCAACACAAAAUACAGGUCAUAAAGACAUUGCUGAUAAAAGGUUGCAGUAAUGGAGCCAGCUAAAACCCACUGAAACCAAAAUGGCAACAAGAGCGACCUCUGGUCAUCCUCACUGCUACACUCCCACCAGCGCCAUGACAGUUUACAAAUGCCAUGGCAAUAUCAGAAAGUUACCCUAUAUGGUCUAAAAAGGGGAGGCAUGAAUAAUCCACUGUUGUUUAGCAUAUCAUCAAGAAAUAACUAUAAAAAUAGGCAACCAGCAGCUCCCGGGGCUGCUCUGUCUGUGGAGUAGCCAUUCUUUUAUUCCUUUUUUUCUUAAUAAACUUGCUUUCACUUUGCACUGUGGACUUGCCCUGAAUUCUUUCUUGCGUGAGAUCCAAGAACCCUCUCUUGGAGUCUGGAUCAGGACCCCUGUCCUGUAACAUCUUCCUGGAGAUCAUGAAGGGACUAUAGUGAGAAAACCCUGACUCAAUGGCUACCUUUGGGUAAAUGUUGGGGUCCUGUAACAUCUUUCUGGCAAUGACAGAAGUGACUAUACUUCGGAAACCCCUGAUCCAACAAAAGCUAACUUUGGGUAAGUGGUGGGGUCUGGUAACAUCUUUCUCUCGAACCACAAAAGGGACAAUACUGAGGAGACCCUCCGACGCAAAGGAAAUAGACUGGAGCACUGAUUGGACAACUUUGGCUUGGCCCCCAGGGCAAUGGUGCUGCAAGCUGGAUCACUGGGGCCGCUCAGGGAAAGGGAAUCCAGAAGCCUGGCAUGCUGACAAAAGGGUGCAGUGGCUCAUGCCUGUAAUCCUAGCACUUUGGGAGGCCGAGGCAGGUGGAUCACCUGAGGUCAGGAGUUUGAGACGAGCAUGGCCAACGCAUGGUGAAACCCCAUCUUUACUAAAAAAAAAUACAAAAAUUUGCCAGAUAUUGCCUUUUCUCAAAACUCAAGAGUUAUGAAUGGACCUUACCAUACUGAUGCUUUCUCACUGAGCUCCUGUCUACUCUGAAUGCAAGAAACCCUCAUAGUUAGGCAGGAAUAUCAUAAUCGCUAUUCAGCCUGAAGAAGUUAAAGAAGAUGGAUCUUCAUCCCUCUGCAACUCUUACGAUUAAAGAGUUCUCUUAUAAAAGGGGGGGGGGGGGGGACAUGAGAGGUGUGUGAACCAGAGCAACUCCAUCUUAAAUAGGAGCUGGGUAAAAUGAGGCUGAAACCUACCAGGCUGCACUCCCAGACAGUUAAGGCAUUCUAAGUCACAGGAUGAGAUAGCAGGUCAGCACAAAAUAAAGGUCAUAACAACCUUACUGACAAAACAGGUUGCAGUAAAGGAGCCAGCCAAAACACACCCAAACCAAAAUGGCAACAAGAGUGACCUCUGGUCAUCCUCACUGCUACACUCCCACCAGUGCCAUGACAGUUUACAAAUGCCAUGGCAACAUCAGGAAGUAACCCUAUAUGGUCUAAAAAGGGGAGGCAUUAAUAAUCCACCCCUUGUUUAGCAUAUCAGCAAGAAAUAACCAUAAAAAUGGGCAACCAGCAGCCCCAAAGGGUUGGCUAUGGAACAGCCAUUCUUUCAUUUCUUUACUUUCUUAACAAACUUGCUUUCAUUUUGCACUGUGGGAUCACCCUGAAUUCUUUCUUGCAUGAGAUCCAAAAACCCUCUUGGGGUCUGGAUCAAGACCCCUGUCCUGUAACAAUCCCACUCUGUUCUCCCUGUUCUUUGUGCUCCAGUCACACUGACCUUCUUUUGUUCCCUGACCACAACAUGCUUCCUCCAGCAAUAAGGUGGCUGCCACACUGCUCCAUCUGCUGGGACCCUCCCCUGCCCCAAUGCCUCCUGUAUCACUUUCUUGGGGAAUUUCUCCCUGACUUCCAGGCAAAGCUCUCAUAAACAGUGUUCCUUUCCUUCAGAGCACUUAAUUCAGUUUUAAAGCAAACAUUAUUUAGUUUAACUAUCUGAAUUAAUUAUUUUAGUUAUUUGCCCACUUCCUUCAAUAGACUGUGGAAUUCCUGAAAGCGAGACCAUGCCUGGCUCUACUCACCACUGUAUACCCAGCAAAAUGCCUGGUAUAUAGCAAACACUCAAUAAAUAUUUGUUGAAUGCAUGAAUGAAUAGAAAUGAUAAGUGAAAUGAGCCAGUUACAAAGUGCUUUUACCCUUGAUAAUUUCUUCUUCCCCAACAAACUGUGCAUUUUUUAGUGCAGUGAUCACAUUUCUCUUGUUCUCCAUUUUAUCCUGAAUACUUAGGGUCUGAAACUCCAAAAACAUUUAUUAAAUGAAGGAAUGAAGGACUUAAGCUUCUGAGAUUAAGCAGAAUGCCAAGAGGAGAAGAAUGAGAAAAGCAUUUCUGACUACAGAAAUAGCAAAAGCACUUAUGGUAUUGAUGUUAAAAAGCUGCCAGUAAAAGAAUGUGAUGCCUUAGGAUAUAUGGGAGCACAGCUGGGAGUCAGAAUAGGAAGGGCCACUUCAGCUGUACUGUUUAGGUGAGUAGUUCUCAUGAUGACUCUAAGAAAUAUAAAGCAGAAGCAGCAACCCAGAAAUGGGAGAAGACACAGGUGGGCAUGCAGAUGGUAAAAAAGGGGACUAUCAAGAACAUACUGAAGAGUUCAAAUAACGAAGUUGUCUGGAAAUACAUAAUGUCAGGUCAAACACUGCCAAAUACUGUCCUAAGUCCACAGGGCAUCAGAAUAUCAUAGCAUAGUAAAAUUACUUGAGUCAUCAAAAAAGGACUAAAUUACACUACUACUGCUGAACUACUUACUAAUAUUGGUUGUGGUAGUAGCUGGCUGCGGUUACAGUAGUUAGGAGGAGCAGAAAUGAACAUUUAUUGAGCACUUGCUAUGUAUUUUCUCAUUUUAUUUUCAUUACUACCCUGUUAGAUAGUUUCCACCCUCAUUUUAUACAUGAGAAAAUCAUACUACAUGGGGCUUAAGUAAUUCAUUUAAAAUCAUCCUGCUAGUAGGCGUUAACACCAGAAUUAAAACCCAGCCUGUAGCUGUGAAUCUCACACUUUCAGCCACUAUGUUAUAUUCUGAUUAAGAAAGUACAGAAAGAUGUUAACACAAUUUAGAGAGCUCCUAUGAAGAAUAACUCAAAUGAAGUUUGGCCAGGCAUGGUGGCUCAGGCCUAUGAUUCUAGUACUUUGGGAGACUGAGGCAGGAUGAUUGCUUUAAGCCAGGAAUUCAAGACCACCCAAGGCAACAAAGCUCUUGCAAAAAAUUUGUGCCACUACAAAAAAUUUUAAAAAUUAGCCAAGUGUAGGGACAUGCACCUGUAGUUCUAGCUACUUGGGAGGCAAAGGUGGGAGGAUUACUUGAGCCCAGGAGUUCAAGGCUGCAGUGAACUGUAAUUGCACAACCGCACUCCAACCUGAGCAACAGAGUCUUAAAAUAAAUGAAUAAAAUGUGAUGCUUGAUGAGAUAAGCCCUCAAAUAGCUACAAAACCCACCAACUUUCCCUAAGCAGUCUAGAUGGCUGAGGUCCUAUCAAAAUGAUGCUAAUCCAGAGUUAUCUCCAAUGCAUGACUAUACCAUGUAUUGUUACACACUGGACUGUCUAAUGUAUAGUGGCCAUUAAAAAUGGGCAAAAGAUAAGAACAGCUCACCAAAGAAGACAAACGGUAACAAAUAAGCAUAUGAAGAUGCUCAACAUGAUGUAAUUAGGGAAUUACAAAUUAAAACAACGACAUACCACUACACACCUAUUAAAACAGCUAAAAUUGAAAAUACUGAUAAAAACCAAAUGCUGGUGAGGAUUUGGAGCAACAACUCUCAUUCCUCACUGGUGGGAAUGCCAAAUGGUAUGACCACUUUGGAAGACAGUUUGGCAGUGUCUUAUAUCAUAGGCUUACCAUACAAUUUGUCAAUCACACUCCUACAUAUUUGCCCAAAUGAGCUGAAAACUUACAUCCACAUAAAAAUCUGCACAUGAAUACUUACAGUGCCUUUAUUCAUAAUUCCCAAAAAUUAGAAGCAACCAAGAUAUCUUUCAAUAGAUGAAUGAAUAAAUGAACUGUGGUAAAUCCAUGCAGUCCAUUACUUAACAACAGUGAGAAAUAAGUGUAUCACACAAAGGAUGCUUAAAUGCAUACUGCUAAGUGAAAAAAGCUAGUCUGAAAAGGCUACAUAUGGUAUGAUUCCAACUAGAUGGCGUUCUGUAAAAUGCAAUACUACAGAGACAGAAAAAAGGCCAGUGGUUGCCAGCAGUGGUGGGUAGGGUUGAAUAGAUGGAGCACAGGACAUUUUUAGGGCAGUGAAGCCAUUCUGUAUGAUACAACCAUUAGAGCUGCACAAGAGUGAACCCUAAUGUAUAACUGCUGGCUUUUGUUAAUAAUAUUGGUUCAUCAACUUUAACAAAUGUACCACACUAAUGCAAGAUAUUAGUAACAGGAGUAAAAUGAGGGAUUGGAAGGAUAUGUAUGGGAACUCACUGUAUUUUCUGUGCAAAUUUUCUGUAAACCUAAAACUGCUCUAAAAAAUAGUCGAUUAAAAUUUUUUUAAAAAAACGAAGCAUAGCUCUCCCUCUCCCUCUCCCUCUCCCCACGGUCUCCCUCUCCCUCUCCCCACGGUCUCCCUCUCUUUCCACGGUCUCCCUCUGAUGCCCAGCCGAAGCUGGACUGUACUGCUGCCAUCUCAGCUCACUGCAACCUCCCUGCCUGAUUCUCCUGCCUCAGCCUGCAGAGUGCCUGCGACUGCAGGCGCACGCCGCCACACCUGACUGGUUUUUGUAUUUUUUUGGUGGAGACGGGGUUUCGCUGUGUUGGCCGGGCUGGUCUCCAGCUCCUAACCGCGAGUGAUCCGCCAGCCUCGGCCUCCCGAGGUGCUGGGAUUGCAGACGGAGUCUCGUUCACUCAGUGCUCAAUGGUGCCCAGGCUGGAGUGCAGUGGCGUGAUCUCGGCUCGUUACAACCUCCACCUCCCAGCCGCCUGCCUUGGCCUCCCAAAGUGCCGAGAUUGCAGCCUCUGCCGGGCCGCCACCCCGUCUGGGAAGUGAGGAGCGUCUCUGCCUGGCCGCCCAUCGUCUGGGAUGUGAGGAGCCCCUCUGCCUGGCUGCCCAGUCUGGAAAGUGAGGAGCAUCUCUGCCCGGCCGCCAUCCCAUCUAGGAAGUGAGGAGCGCCUCUUCCCGGCCGCCAUCCCAUCUAGGAAGUGAGGAGCGUCUCUGCCCGGCCGCCCAUCGUCUGAGAUGUGGGGAGCGCCUCUGCCCUGCCGCCCCGUCCGGGAUGUGAGGAGCGUCUCUGCCCGGCUGCCCCGUCUGAGAAAUGAGGAGACCCUCUGCCUGGCAACCGCCCCGUCUGAGAAGUGAGGAGCCCCUCCACCCAGCAGCCGUCCCGUCUGAGAAGUGAGGAGCCCCUCCGCCCGGCAGCCACCCCGUCUGGUAAGUGAGGAGCGUCUCCGCCCGGCAGCCACCCCGUCCGGGAGGGAGGUGGGGGGUCAGCCCCCCGCCUGGCCAGCCUCCCCGUCCGGGAGGGAGGUGGGGGGAUCAGCCCCCCGCCCAGCCAGCCGCCCCGUCUGGGAGGUGAGGGGCACCUCUGCCAGGCCACCCCUACUGGGAAGUGAGGAGCCCCUCUGCCUGGCCGGCCGCCCCGUCCAGGAGGGAGGUGGGGGGGUCAGCCCCCCGCCCUGCCAGCCGCCCCGUCCGGGAGGGAGGUGG